rnacentral:misc_RNA from 1 species
CCACCGCCGCCGCCGCGGAAUGACAGCGAUAGUAGCGGAGUGACAGUGCUCGACAGUGCGCGACGAACGACGCUCGACGUGGUGUUUCUCUCUCUCGCAGACCGUGCGUUUGACACUCGACAGGAUGGAUCGCGGCUCGUAGCUCGUGCACCUCGGAGUAGUCUGUUCUCCACCGGAGACGAAUGCUUGCGAUCUCUCUGGUAUCGCUCACCGAGGUGCUAUCAGCUAUCGUGCCGUUAAGAUGAACUUAAUGAGCGAUAUGGCUCGCUACGACAGCGAGAGGUCUUUACUCUCCUUGCAACUAGAACCGUCGGUUGAUUUAGCUCCUCUCGCUGUCCCCGUCACGACGUCUCUCGUGUCGUCGACGACAACGUGUUCUGUCAGCCCAGUCAAGGUCACUGCCGAUACCAAUUGUACUCACGUGUCGAACGCUACAACUCCCGAGACUCCAACCACCACCACUUCCUCGACACCGUCUUCGUCGGACUCUCGUAUACCAAGGCCGUCGCCGACGGCCCUGCAUCGCUCGGCGAGCCUGCGCGUGCGCGGCGAACGGAUCCCACCACAUUAUACGCGAGCCAGCAGCGCGGCCAACACUCUGCUCGGCCACCUAUACCACCACCGUCGUCACAACCACCUCCUGCAGUCGCAGCAACAGCAUCAACAUCCGGACCAUCGUAUCUUCCCUGUCAUCACGGAGAAUGGAACCGACUCGCCGCGACAACGAUCUCUCAGUCUCUCACUGACACCGGCGAGGCCGCGGCCAGGUCACGCGGCCUCUGGAGGAACAACGACGGCCGGCGCCGACGACAGCGAUGCCGAGAGCGUGAAGAGUUACGGUAGUGCCUGCAGCACAGCGAGCGCCUGCGAGCACGCCUCCUUCGCGUUGAACGGCACCACUUGGUCCGGCCGGUCGCGGAAAUAUGUCGUGCACUGUUCGAAUCAUAACGACAACGAGCAAUAUCUCACACCUACGCAGAGGGCGGCCAGACAAGUCAGGAAAUUUCAGGCUUUACUGAAGGAGGCGCGCAAGGAGAUCGAGGAGAAGGACCGCGAGAUCCUGCGCUUGACCAAGGAGGUCGUGGAGUUGCGGUUGUACAAGGCUUCUCUGAACAGUCCAGAUGAGCGGACAGACAGCAGCGACGCUCUUACCGUGCGCGAGAACAACCCCUUCUCGCCGGAGUCGCCGAGCAAGGAUCUCCCCGACGAAGGCGUCGGGGAGAAGGUCGCCAGUCCGGAUACUCCGGAGAAGCGUGUAAACAGCGAUCUUCCACCGUCGUUGUCUGAUUCCGGCCACUUUGAAGAUGGUUCCGUCCAUUCGAAAGAAUCCAUGUGCUUGCCCGAGCCACAGCCGGAGAUCGCCACCGGUACGUCGACGGUCGUCACCACAGUAUCCGGCGACACUGUCACCGAUGCGAUCUCCGCGCCGCCGCCGGCGGCGAGCACGGACCGAGACGAAGAGAGGCGUCGAUUAGUUAGUCAUUAUGAGAAUAGAAUCGAAGAUAUGCAUAGGCGGCAUGUCGAUGAGCUACAGGAACUCAAGCAGAAGCACAAUGAUAAGGUGGAGAGCUUGCUGAAUCAAUUGUCCGAGGUCAAUACCCGUUACUGCGAGGUACGACCGGCCAUGGAUAUCGCGGAGGCUCGGGCGCGCGAAUUAGAAGCGGAACUAGAGGCUGUGAAGACUGAACUGAACGAGCAGAAGACCUUGUUCAGCGAGCAGGAGGAAAGGAAUAAGCAAAUGUACCUGAAAAUGUAUACCAAAGGUCAAGAAGCCGCGCGCAUCGAACAGGCUGAUCAGAUUCUCGUGCAAGCCCAGCAAUUACCGCCUAAAGUCACCGUCGCAGAACUCCUUCAGCAAUUAACCGUCACGCAAGCGGAGUUAGAAAAUAUUAAGGACACAAGCUACUCGCCUGAACCUCACAUUUCAGCCGAACAUAGCCAAAGUUUGUUAAGCGCUCAGGAGGCUGUUUCUCUCUGGGUCCUUGGCACACGUAAGAUCGGGCGAUUAAUCAGUGCACUAGGAAGAAACAGCCUCUUUCAUCUUCGGUCAAUGUAAGUUUGCACGUGCUUACAGCCCAUGCACGCUUCCACCAUCGCGUACAGUGACAUACCCACGGCAUGAAUCACAUCGGAAUCAUCACUGUUCGCACUGUUCAGCAUUCGCGAGAGAAUACGACACACAUGUGGAUUCAAACGCAAUGUAUCGGCGUAUCGUAGAGGCGAGAAGCAAUCAGGGUACUCUCGAUCCAGAAAUUACCCUGCAAUUCUUAAAGUCGGCGAUCUACUAUUUCCUAACUGAUAAGGAGAAUCAUCACGGCCACUUAAACGCUAUUGAAAGUAUCCUGGGCUUCACGGAGGCGG